AUUAUGGUUGUGCACUUGUAUACAUUUUUAAAAACAAGAGAUCAUGGCUAAAGGAAGCUUUGGAGUUUUUUGCUAUACUUCGAUGUUUCUGUAUUUGGAAUACUUUUGAAAUGCAACAUCCCUUAAUAAAAAAAAAAAUCCUGAGAGCAGAAAACUUAUUUAAUACAGAAUUUCCUGACUUUGCAUGUUUACAUUUUCUGUGAAACUUCCAAAAGCAAUGUUAAGUCUGCACCCCAUCUUUCCUCCAAUACCUACAUCUGUCAUUGUAGAGCAACCCAAACCCCUCAUCCUCUGCUGGUCAGGGACUUCUUGUGUCCUUCACUAACCUCCCCUAAGUUCCUUCUCAUGAUAUAGGUUAGAAACCCCCACCAUGUAUCCCAUCCACUAUGAUAUGGGCUACCAGAGUGGGGCAGAGUUAUAACAUUAUAUAAUGGACGAUAUAUUGCAAUGGAUGAGGGGGGAGAGUUUGGGUCAGUGCUGGAAACAUAUGUUUCAUUACAAUUUCAUAUUAAAUGCUCAAACUUAAGUCUCUGUUUACAAAGCAUUUUGCUCUUGGAUCUUUUUUUAAAAGAAAACAGUUGUUUAUAUUUUUAACACAGUAGAUUAAGAACACUGGCACCUGUUACUAAUGACCACCAUCAGGACUCCAUUUUUUAUUCAGUUGUUUACAAUAGGUAGCUUCAUAAUAUAGUGAUGCCCAAACAACUUGUUUGUUUUAAAGUGUAAAACAAAAAGAUAAAUAUUAAGGUAGAGAAGAGAAACAUUAUUUUAGUCUGUAUGGUUUGAGUAUUAUAUGAAACAGAAAAUUUGUAUCACUGUAUUAGAGGCAAUUCUGUAAGUUGCAUAAAACCAAAUGGUCAAACCAUGAUGCAUUUUGUGUUUUAUUAAACUAAAACACAGAAUUCUGCCAUAGAAAUCAUGCCCUUUUAAAGUCCAGUGCAUUUUAUUUUAUGUAAUAAGUUAAAAAAUAUCUUCACUUCAAAAUUAUUGCUCCUGUUUUCAACUUGUUUGGUGUUCAAUUAAGACUGUUGCCAUCACAGUUCGUAAUUUAGCAGCAUUAGAGUAGAAAUGACUGAGGUGGUUUUGCCUGGGAAUACCCAAAUUCUUCCAAUGUGGUGUUUGCUUGCAUGUAGGUUUGAUCUGGAUCUCUGGAAUGGGUAGUCUCGCUAAAGAUUUUUGUUCUCAUCUUUUGUUUUCCAGAGACAUGUAACUCCAAAACUGCUUGGCCAAUUUGCUUUAGAUUCAAUUCAAAAAUAGGGCUCUGGAUUUGAGUGAGAGUUAAUGGUGGUUUUCCUCAUGGUCCUAAUUGAAAUAUUUGUUAGUUUUCCAUGGGCUACUGAAAUUAAUUGUGGCUAAUGAAAUUCUUUUCUCACACCAUCCUGUCAAGUUGACCUGAGGUGGUCGGUGGCAUUUUAAGUGAUAUCCAUAAAUUGAUUAACCCUUAGAAUAAGCACAGUGCCAGAAAUGUAGGCACAUGGAGGAUUUUAACAGUGAAAAUGUAGCCACAGGAUUUUAGAUGCCUCCAAGGUUAGGCGGCAGCCAAGCAGGGGUUUUGAGGAUCUCAGUGAUGCCUGAAUAUUGGAUGUAGGUAGCAGAUAGGCACCUAAAUCCUUUUAUUGAUCUGGCUUCAGUCUUUUAACACACCCCCAACCUCCACAAAACUCUCCCCCAAAAAGUUCUGGAGGUAGAGGGUUAUUGGCUCUUGGAUUUAAUACAGUGUGUUGUAGCUAUUUGUAGUGGAAUCAGUUUAUAUUAUUUUAAGUUGUCUUCAGAAUGGUCAAGUGUAUGACAGCUGCUAAAUGUUGCAUCAGUCUGUUAUAGUCAUUUGAGUAUAGCGGUGAUGCAGAUUAUUGGAGGUAUCAGUUGUAUCUAUGCACCAUAUAUCUACAUAUUAAUGUGUUCUUUUUAAACAGAUAAUUGCAAAGGAUUUUAAGCAAAAGAAUGUAAUCCCUCGUCUUUGACUUCUUUUUGUAUCUUCACUGAAGUUAAUGCCACUGAAGUUAAUGCCACUGCACUUAAACUACAUUCAAGUACCAUCACUUUUCUAAUAAGCACUUGGGUAUUGAGCCACUUGAUAGUACCUAAUCCUAACUUAAACCCAAGUAAUGUUGCAUUCUGUAACUGACUUGCAUCUUCCCCUUUCAGUCUUUUUUUUAAUAAGAAAUCAAUUAUGCUAUUUAAAAAUUGAAAUCCUCCAGCUAUUUCACACUGUUAAUUGAAAUGAAAGGCUUGAAAGUUUUCAGAACUUUACACAUUGGGGAGGAUGUGGGGAGACAUGCAAAGAAAUCUUCUAGUACGGGUCUUGCUAUUAAAAUUAAUCAUCAAAGUACCAUGGGCAUUUAUUGGAUUUGGAACCUAAAGAUGAGAUAAUAGAGGUAUUUGAUACAAAAUUCCUUCUCCCUUUGCUUACCCAUACAUAGAGGAACAUGUUCACCAGCAGAACAAAGAACAGAAAGCCAUCAUCCUUGGGUGCUGGGACCUUUACAAUGUGAUCUAAAAUUAUUUGUAUUUAUUUAUUUCUAUUCAUAACACAACUAAUAAGCACCCAUCAGUUGGAUCCCGUCACAUUAUCACGUUCAUAUUGAAUGCAUUAGAUGCCUUCCACCUCUAAUACUAAUGCCCCAUAAUUAUUAUUAUGAAUAAAAGACCUUUAAUUUAUCCCUCCACCCACAUCAGUGCUAGGAGAAAAAGGUGGUCUUUGCAGUAAGUCUGGAAUGUUAAAUCCAAGAUUUAACCCUGAUUUUAUGGAAAUUUGCA